rnacentral:lncRNA from 1 species
GCAUUUAAUUGCUUUAAAUGAAAAUGUUGAUCAACAUUUGAAGAAGGUUUCAGAGACUAAAACGUGUCCCCUCAAAAGGUACAUGUUGAAGGCUUCACCCAGUGCCUUGGAGUGUGACUGUAUUCGAAGGCACAGUUCAGUUCAGCUGAAGCUGUUGGGGUGGCCCCUGUUGAAAGGAGCAGCCUUCUAAGAAGAGGAAGUUUGGACACAGAGAGACACAGGCAAGCAGGGACGACAACACAAGGACGCCAAGGGAAGGAGUCAAACCAAGGUGACAUGAGAAUGGCCUUGGACUGCUGCAAAGCUGGGCCAAAGCUUGGCAUGGCUGGCUUUUCUUCACUUGUCUUCAUGCCGAUCCCAGAGAAUUCACAGUCCCUUGGGGAAGACCAUUCAGUGGAGAAAGAAUAGUGUCUUCAACAACUGAUGCUGAGACCACUGGGUUUCUACAUGCAAAAUAAUGAAGUCGAGCUCCUACGUCACUUCAUGUACAAAAAUUAUCUAGAAACAGAGUAACAACUUUAAAAUAACAACCAAAAUCCAAUGUGAAAUAGGAAGAAAAAGGAUGAAGAUGUAGGGGAAGUGGGAAGGGUAGGGGAAAGGAAAUAAGGGAAAAGGAAAAAAUGGAAACAAAGUCUUUGUAAAUAGGGGAGCGGGGAGGGAGUGAAGGGAGGGCAGCAGUAAGGGGGAAAAUGAGAACCAAGACCUGUUGUGUAAGGGUACAAGAUCCCAAUGAUGAAUGCAACUGUACUGUAUACCUAAAAUGUACCAAUAAAUUCAAUAAAAAAAAGAAACAAAAUCAUAAAACUCUUAGCAGAAAACUAAAGUAAAUCAUGAUAUCAGAUUUGGCAAUCAAUUCUUAGUUUCAAAACCUAAGUAUGAGCAACAAAAGAAAAAAGUAAUAAAUUGGACUUCGUCAAAGUUAGGAACUUCUGUGCACUAAAAGACUACUAAUAAAGUCAAAAGAUAACCUAUUUGUGGAAGAAAACAUUUGCAUUGAGAAAGCAUUUUAAACCAUAUAUAGAAUAGGGGACUAGUAUCUAAAAUAUACAAACUGACUUCGAUUUAUGAUUAUUAAAUUAAGUUAUUUUAAGAGGGCCACUUGAGAUUUCUUUGGCUUUCCAAAGGUACGAUAAAAAUUUGCAUUCAGUAGAACCAUACUUCAAAAUUUGAAUUUUGAUUCUUUUUUUAGAGAGAGAGAGAAAAAAAAAUAUAUACCAUAUGACCCUCUCUGGCUGUGCUGGACAGCAACAGGAACUCCUUGACAGCAAGAUGAUCAUGAAGGUAGGCAGCUGAUCUUUC